rnacentral:rRNA from 1 species
ACUCCUACGGGAGGCAGCAGUAGGGAAUAUUGGACAAUGGGGGCAACCCUGAUCCAGCAAUGCCGCGUGAGUGAUGAAGGCCUUAGGGUUGUAAAGCUCUUUUACCCGGGAUGAUAAUGACAGUACCGGGAGAAUAAGCUCCGGCUAACUCCGUGCCAGCAGCCGCGGUAAUA